UCUGGGCGGGACAGGGAAGGGGUCCUCCUGGGUGUGAGGAGCCCCGAGGGGAGCCUUUUUUCCUCUUCACCCCACAAGCAGCCGGAGAAGGCCCUUCCCCCUCUCAGCGUGGGGAGAAAGUGUGGGGGAGACUUCUGGCUGCUGCUUGUGCCCCCUGCCAUGGCCCCACACUGGGCUUGACCCCCUCCCUCCCUCCCUCCCUCCCUCCCUGAGUCGCAGCCCCCCAGAAACUGGACCGGAGGCAGGCAACCCAGAACAGCGCCGAAGCAGUCGUCCCUCGGUAUCCACGGAUUCUUUCCCGCCGAGUCAAGCCUCCGCGGCUUCAAAAUGUUCCGAGAAAGAUAUAGAAAUGCUCAUAAGCGAGCCUUGGCUUUGCCCUUUUUCCCCAAGGGACCCCCUUGCCCUCUGCCAGUGUAUUGAAUGGACUUCAGCAUCCACGGAGUUUGGUCUCCAAAGGGGCCUCCAGGGACCGGACCGCGAUGGAUGCCAAGGGCCCACCGCGCUCCUCCGCCUCCUCCUCCUCCUCCUCGGCUUCAUAAAAUAUUGAGUUUUUAAGGGAGGGGGACCCAGUGCGCUUCUUGCAAAGCCUGACUCCGAGGCUUCAUCCACACUGGAGAAAUAACCCGGUUUGGCACCGCUUGAACUCUUUUCUGGCUCAAGGCUAUGGAAUUCUGGGAGUUGGAGUUUGCUGUGGCACCAGAACGGAUGUUCUCUCUACCUUUUAUCAUCCUUGGCUGCAUCUACACUGCAGAGUCAGUGUGGUUUGACACUGCUUGAACUCAAAGGACCAAAGUUUGGGAAUCAGGACAUCUGCUUCUUCCUUCUGCUUCACUAGCACUCGAAAGGAGACUUAAAGGAAAAGGAUUGUGUUUGACUUAGACAAUUUUGCUAUACCCUUAUUGUUUAUUUCCAAAGACAAACCAUAGAUUUCUUAAAGCAUUCUGUAAAUAGAGCUGAGAUGCAUGUUCUGAUCAUCUGCUGUGAACAUCUGCUCUGUUUACAUUAGGAUUUGAUGACUUGUCCUACAAGAUCUGUGUAGUCUCCAGCUUAAUAAGGCAGAUCAAGAGAAUAAAUCUGUGUGAUCAGAAAUGCCCUAAAACACUAGAUGGGUAAAUAUCAAAAUCUGUCACCUCUUGGUUUUGCCCAGAGCUGCUCUUUGUCUAUGAGCCUCCAAACAGAGCUUCAGGUUCAGACAGUUGUAUGAACCCACUGAAGACAUUAGUCCUUAGACUUAGCUCAGUAAGAGGAGAGGGCUCCUAUUCACAUCCUCUAGCCCACUGUGUGAUGUCUUUUAGGUAUACCAAGACAUGUUUACUCUCCCUGAGAGGCCGGAUAUGCCCUUCCUUGCACAGUCCUCCUUGCAACCCUCCAGAGAUAAAGAGUGAACUUUCCAGAUGUUCUUUUCACUCUCUCCAAAUUGUCUAAGGUGACCCUUCUGAGUCAUUGAGACGGAUUGGGGCUUCCGAGCAGACAGCUCCAGGUGCUGCCAAUCAAAAGGAACUGGGUGCUGUCCUUAUUUGUACACACACAGGUUGACCAGGUCUCCUAAAUGCAAAGGAAGAUAAGGAACGGUAAUAUGUAGGACAUUCAAGCAAAAUGUAGGACACAACAAAAGAAAAGCUAAAAGCACUCAUUUCUAGGCCAACAUACCUGGAAGGCUCCAGGCUGGAGAAUGCUGAUUUAGGCUGAAUAAAAUAAGCUUGCUCAGAUGAGAGAAUUCCUUGGAGGUCAUUCCAAGUUUUUGAAGCGGUGACAGAAAAGGACCUCCGGGAGGUCACCGCCAGUCUCAUCUUUCUAGAUUGUAAGAGGUUUUUCCUGGAGGAUUGGGGUGUACGGGCAGGAUUGUAUGGGAGGAGGCGUUCCUUCAAGUAGACUGGACGCAGACCAUGUUGAUUGGUUAAGAUGUAAAUCAGCAGUGGCCAAGGACAAAAGAAACCAAGCAUCACUAUCUGAGUCUGAAGCAAAUGCUCAGGCUUUUUUGUGGAACACUGUACCCAUGGAAAUCAUCAUGUCACUCAUACCUGUGACUUUAAGGACAAAAGCUCUAUGAUUCUCUAUAUAUGUAUAACUGUGAAACCAGUACAAGAGACAGCAAGAGAAAAGCUGCUCAACAUGAGUCUGUUCUAUAGUCCUCAUGACAAGCACUGAGAUUGGAUUAGCAUAAAAGUGAAUGCUUUACUAAGCCCUGGCUUAUAUAAAGUAACCAUAUGCUGUGUCAGUACCACUAAGGGAUGAAGUCAUGCCAUGCUCUUCAGUGGAUGCCAACAAUUGCCUUUUAUGCAAUUUUCUGAAUCACCCCAUUGUACCAAGCUCACUCACCAUACUUUUCAUAUGCAGAAUGCUUAGGGUACAAAAUGAUAAAAAAGGAGGCUGUAGAAUAUUCCUCAUCCUAUCCCCAUAGCUCAUUCACACUGCAACUGUAUCAGUGUGUAUUGUCAAGGGGGGAAAUGUUUCUGUACAACAGUAUUGCCACCAAGAAUAUAUUUUCCUAACAAACCAAAAUGUAUUGGCAUAGGUAGCAUACUGCUCAUUUAAAUGCAUUUUAAUUGUGCACUUCUGACUUUGUCAUUCAGUUAGCUGGAAGUGAGACAAGUACACACAUUCUAAGAAGAAGUAUUGAUUGUAUCAAUAAACCUAUGAGUGCAGUUGUGUUCUGUUUUACAUGUUCCUUAGGCAGUAUGGCAUUAAAUGCUCCUGCCUGUGUAUUCAUAAUGAAAUUGGGAGUGCCCCCAUCUCCAGACAGGAAAAUGUUCAUGAAUAUGGAGAAAAGGAGAAUUGAUCUGCUUCUCUUUUUGUGUUUUGAGUGGGAUCUCUGUAAGAAGUAACUGGAUAAAGUUUGUUUCUGCCUUUAAGGCCAUGUGCACAACAGCUUGUGAGAAUGAGCAUGUCAAGGAAAAGGGGGAAAGCACUCAUGUCAUAAUACUUGAUUGGAUAUUCUGCUCUGUAGUCAGGAUUGCUAGUGUUGCUGAAUUAUGGGAGUUGAGGUAGAACAACAUCUGGAAAGCCACUCAGGCUUUAGACUCAGACGUACUUUGUUGCAUCAUUGGUAAUUUAUGGAAACUGCAAGUUUUAAUUCUGGUAAUUGGUUCCAGAUCAACUAAAUAGCUCUUUUGUGUUCUAAGGUUGUUUUCCUUUGAAUAAAAGUUGUUUGAGUUAGACCACAGACAUGAUCUUACCAGAAACAUUUGGUUAGCCAUUGUUGGAAAGCAGAUGCUGGACUGGAUAUUUAAGAGGUUGUGCAGACCACCCCUAAGGGGCGGCCUGCAGCUGUCUUCAUCUGCACCGGAUUGGUUCUGUGGCAACUGCACACUGUGGGCCCAAUCUGGCCUUUCCAGGGCACAGCGCCAGAGGAGGUGCUAUGCCACCAUGCACCGUGUAGAGCAGCACACAACAUCAUGCCACCCUGGGAGCGGAGUUGGGGCAUGUGUCAUGUGGACACCACAACCCUACUCCACCCCCAGGCCAGCCUUAAUGGCCAGUGUGCACAGCCCCUAAGAGAAUUUGCAGCUGGCCUUCCCUCAGUACAAAUGAGUUUAGUAGAGUGAGGACAUAAUUCAAAAGACAGAGAACUCAAGUAGACACUAGAUAGGUGUAGGAAGUGUGUUGAGUUAUACAACACUCAAGUCCUUCCCUACAGCAGCACUUGUUAGCCCUUCAGAAAACAAAUGAGAACCCCAUAUCCAUGGAAUAUGCUUAAGUAGUUUGACAUCAUGAUGUAAAAUUUGCACAUGUACAGCUCUUGUACAGUCUACAAGAGCUGAGUUCUGUCUAGUGAUUGCCUCUUCAAAAGUGUCAAAGUAUUAUGCCUUAACUUAUUCAGGUCUAUCACCAUACAAACCACACAGGGAAACUGCAAAGUGAAAUGACAGUUCUUUAAUAAAACAUCAGACACUUUC